UGCUCCAGAAAUAAUCGAUCUUUGUUAUUGUAAAAAGUACUCUCUACGAGUGCCAUGUUCAAUGUCCUUCUUCGUCUUGCACUUACAGACCACCAACGGUCUUUUCCAGCACCUUGACGCCAUGUUGUAGUAACGCCGAAAUUCUUUAUUGUGUGAUUUUAAGCCUUCAACCGCACUAAGUGCGGUUCCACGAUACCGGCCAUGCGGUAAACUUGAACCAACUUGUGCUGUGGUGUUGGGGGCCUGUCCCCGGCAGCCCGGAAGCAAAAUGAAGUGACCGCACCUAAUUCAGGAAAGCCGACGACUAUUUUAUUAUUUUUGGCAUGAAUUACUAACCUUUUUUUAAUCAACUCUACCUAUGUGAAAAUUUCGUGGACUUAACCUCAUCGGACUUCUCGUCAAACUUGUCUUCUCUUCUAUUUUAAAGAAAUUUAUUUGAACCAACGCAACGUUUUAUUUAAUAUAUAAUUUUCAAGCAACGAAAUAAUGUAACAUGGACUAAAGAUAUUUUGAUAAACAAACAAAAAAAAAUAUGUUUUGAAAGAAAUUCAUCAUGUAAUAAUUGUAAGACAAUUUUAUUUUUUUUCUGUGGGGCCCCAGAUAAGAUAAAACUUAAAUAUAAUAAAAUCAGUAUUAUGUUAACGAAAUAAUUUAAAAUCCAAGUGAUAUUACCAAAAAGUCAGGGUUUAAUUUAAAAUAAUUUAUACAAAUAAAUUAUUUAUCUGAAA